GCCUGGCUGGCUCAGUCAGUAGAGCGAGCAACUCUUAAUCAUGGGGUUGUGAGUUCAAACCCCAUGUUGGGCA
rnacentral:tRNA from 1 species